UGUGGAACAAGAGGCAAAUAUAAAUAGCAGUUGAAGGGAAAAGUCCAAGCUAUUUUGCGUGUACUUUUGAAUAAGGGUCAAUUUUAUUUCAAGCUCCUGGGAUGACCUUUAAGGUUUUCUUUAAGGCUUUCUAUAUGUUUCGUGACAGAAUGACAAGGAAAUGACAGGGGACCUGACAGCUCUAUUAACUGCAGGAAAAAGAUGGGCGAGAGCUGUGUUAAAUCACCUCUGGAUAACAAGCUGGAUUUCAGAAUGCAGCCCCAAUUCUUGCAGGACAAAUCAUGAUGUGACAGGAAGAAUUAGAAAGGCACCUCUCAGGAGCACAUAUGUUCCAGUUCCAUACCUUCUACAUGCUGGCCUGGAAGCUCAGCUUUACAAAGCACAUGAACCUUUGACCAGGGGAAUUUCAGAUAAACUGCAACAACUGAAAACUUUGCAAAGCAAAAGCUCUCCUGCAUUCCAGGAGGUGAGAAAGUGUUCAGCACUAACACCUACACAAGUGACGAUCACCAGGAGGUUGGACACAUUUGCAGUGACUUCUGCUCAUGGACCUUUUGGAUGCCUGAGUUGAACAGGAUGUUGCAAAUUAGAACCUGCUCACAGCUUUGUCAAUGGAUUAGGACAAAACAAGCAGUGCACAUUUUAUGAAGACUGGAUAUUAUAUUAAUGACAAGUCCACCAGAGUAUGAACAAGCUGCUGCAGUUUAAUAAAAAGCAGAAUUUCCUAGACUCGCAUAAACUAUUAGCUCAUUGACUAAAAUAGACCUGCUGUCUCUGUCUGCUGUAGAAGCCCAGCUGCUCUGCUGAUCUCAACAAAAGAACAAUUGCAGCUACAAUAAAAACCCUGGGAUCUUGAAAAACAUGGGACGAUAUCAGCUGUUAAAGAGGAUAGAAAUAACACAGCAGUGAAACUAAUAAAUAAAUACAAACAGGUUUAAGGUGUUCUCUUCAGAAACACUGUCCUAUGGGUUAUAGAUCUGAAGACUAGCUUUUAACAGUUCUGACAUACAAGGAACCCAUGCAAGCACUUACACAUCUCCCCUGUGUAAGUGCUUCAGUUCUUGUUCCUGGCUACAUAAAUCACAGGCAGGGUAAACGCAUUACGAGUAAAGAGAAGGAAAUAAUAUGAUCUCCUAGCAGACACUGGGAGCAACAGCUUUUCACUUAUGUGCCAAAAUGCCACACAACUAUUAGUAUGGAACAAGAUACGCCUUCUUUUAGAAACAGUCUAUAGCAAAUUCACAUUUCAUCUACUAAAUCCUUGGCUUCUUACAGUCUUUUAGCACGUUUCUCCUAAUAACAUCCCUCUCAAGACUAGACCGUGCUUUUCUGCUUUUCUCCCAUUUUGUAAGCACAGAAGAAAGACAAAGCAGGUACAGAUGCACAAAAAAAGAACUAAAUGUCCAAAUCCCAGCGUGCCAGCCACAAAGCCCCAGGAUAUCCAGUUACACUGGGCAAAAGCCACAGUGCUGAAAGAUAGAAAAUGUCUCUGUUCUGAUAUAAUUUGACAGUAAAGAAGAGUUGACAGAGUCCAUAUAGAUGCUCCUGACAUAUAACAACUCCCUUGGGAUAGUGGGUACACAUGAAAGUGGGAGACAAACAGAUAAUACAACAUUGACCACGUUGUCCAAAUUCAGUGAUCACAAAUCAGUUCUCUGUUGACAAGACUCAUUUUUCACAGCAGCGUCUUUGUCUCCAAGCCUUUGCCAAACAGUUAUAACUUCAUCAGUGCAUUUGGGAAUACAUUUAACAAAAUUGUCUUUUGCAGAAGUGAGAUGGUACCAAAGCAAUGCAAUUUUGAAAAACAACAACACAGAGGGAAGGAGAAAAGCUGUCUAGAAAAACUAGUGAAGAUGGCCCUCAAUUUCCUGAUAAAAUGGCCCGGCGCACUGUUACUUGCCUAUUCUCUUUAGGAAUUACAGGAAAAUGAAAUUACCAGAGAUUUGCAAUGUGUGCAACACCAUUUCAUUAGAAGGAUAAGAAGUCCAAAUUUCCUUAUUAUCAACAAAUUAUGUCAGUAUUAAGACUGAUCUAAUGUUACCUUUGAUCUUGAAUUCUUCAUGAAAUCAGAUGCACAAGGUACAGUUACCUGAAGUAGCAAGUCCCCACAGUUUCAUUGGAGACUGUGUCUAAACACAUGACAAAUCAGAAUUCCUAAUGUUUUCCUCUAAAUAAUUAAAAUCCUUUUCAUAUACAUCAUCAAAACCUUAAAACCCUGCUUAGAUUAUGUGACAAAAAACUUCAUGGCAGAA